CAAGUCGAACGGUAGUAUAUCUUCGGAUAUAUGAGAGUGGCGAACGGGUGAGUAACACGUAAGAAUCUACCUUUGGGCCGAGGAUAACUUCUGGAAACGGAUGCUAAUACUCGAUACGCUGUGGAGUGAAAGAAUUUCGCCCAAAAGAUGAUCUUGCGUCUGAUUAGCUAGUUGGUAGGGUAAUGGCUUACCAAGGCGAUGAUCAGUAGCUGGUCUGAGAGGAUGGACAGCCACAUUGGAACUGAGACACGGUCCAAAACUCC
rnacentral:rRNA from 1 species